AAACCCUAGUAGCCUGUGGCACUCUCCUCGCUCGAUCCCCUUUGUCCUUCCACGCGCCGCCACCUCUCUCUCUUCCUUCCCCGAUCCAGAUCAAAGACGACGGCUCCCGCUGAUGGGAUCCCACCGCAUCACUCUCCCGCCAAUGGGAUCCCACCGCAUCACUCUCCCGCCUUCCACCCCACCGCAUCGCUCUCCCACCGUCCACCCACACUGGCCGUUUCGCUCUCGCUCGCACCUAAUCCAGAUCCCGAUCCGCAGCGACGUCGCCAACAUCUCGGGGCCCUCCGAUCCCACCCCUCCCUUCUGACCCCGAGGCAGCCGGCCAAGGUCUACGGCAGCGAGGGCAGCGCCUACUACGAGUGGAGCCCCGCGGAGCUGCUCAUGCUCGGUGUCGCCUCCAUCGGAUGCCAUGGCAGACGCGGCUGGGCAUCACGCUGGACUGCGCUCGCCCAUCGCCAGCAGCACCACCCGUCCUCUCCCUCCCAUUGACCCACCUACCAGCGCCGGCGAUCCAGAUCGUCUCAGUUUAAGGACAUUCUGUGGAAUGAAGGAAGUGAAAGAAGUCGUAGUGGUGCGCGAUCCAUCCUACGAAAAUGUAUUUGAAGGAGUUCUAGGCUGAAGACAUUCGAAGAAGCUCUAAGCCCCAGUCAGCAACUUGCUUUAUAUGUUACUGAAUUUGCAAUGCUGAAUUUCUUGAGAAAUUUGAUGUACUGCUGAACAUGUUGGGAAUUUGGUGUAUAUUUGGUCGCUUAACUUGUUAUUUAAAUGUUGUUGGUAGUUAUGUAGAUAUACUGAGAAUAUUUUUUUUUGACUAAAAAUAAGUUGACAUUUUGAUCAUUCUCCCCGGGCACGUCACAGACCCCGACGACUGCAACAGAUUUGUUCAGGCCACAGUCGACCACUACGGCCAAUUGGACCAUCUUGUGUGCAACGCUUGUCUUGCAAGCGUUGGCGCCUUUCAGGAGAUUCCUAACGUUACUAUAUGAACAAAUGAAUGUUGCAUGACGUUUCUUUGGAAGUAUUGUCUUAGUAAGAGCAUUCUUAGCAUGUGUAUAACAAUCUUCUUCUCCUAUUUGUGCACAUCAGGGACGGCUCGGAUCUGACGUUUUUGGUGUCUUACUGGUUUUCGGGGCGGGGGUGGUGCAGUGGCCGCAUGAACACGCUCAGGGGCAUCAUCGGCCGGGCGCUCAGGAGACAGGCGAGGUGGUUGCUGCCCACCCAGAAAGUCUGCAACAUGGCGGAGUCCAUCUUUGGCCGUCCCAAGCACGACCAUGAUAGACCCACAACGGCAGGCAGUUCAUUGAAAUUCAACAACAUCUGGUGGUCGUCAAGUCAAGGAACCUCUUCUUGCCGCGGCCGUCCUCCUCCCCCUGCUCUGCUCUGCUCAACAGCUAGCAUCCAUGGCUAAAACAAAGGGCGACUAGUGAUGCAACACAUCAAGCAGCAGCAGCAGGGGGGAGGGGGUCUCUCGAACAUCGAUGUUGCCACUCAUUGCUACUGUCGUUGAUUGAUGAUGGAUGGCCGUUGUUAGUUUAGCUCCUUGGUAGUCCACUCUUGCAAGCGUCUACAAUUGCUGGCAGAAACAGAAAUGGUAGCUCUAGUCCCAUGUUGUAGUUCCAUGUAGUUCCUCUGCUCGGACUGUCCUUUGUUGCUUCAUUUCUAUGUUAAUUCAGUCUUUGUUGAAUGUGUCUAUUGUCGUGGCUGUGUAAUGAAUCCUUUUGUGUUGAAAGAAAUAAAAUGGUUUGGAUACAUGCAUA